UUAAAGUUUGAUUCUAGCUUCCUAAUUAAUUAAGGCUCAAUACAACACAUGCAUAUUAUUUGAACCAGGAAAAGCUUCUAUUAUUUAACACAACUUUUGGCUAAUAAAAUUUAGUUAAUUUUCUCAUCGGCCCCAAAUUUUCCGUCUGCAGUGAUCAACUCUUAUUACCUCGCCGCCAGUUGGAAUAGGUUAUUGCCCUAAAGGACGGCCAAAUCUGUGCCAGCAGCCGCGGUUACACAGAAGGCCUAAAUUAAUUCUCACGGACCGCUUGUUUCCCUGGAUUUUAAAAUUUAAAUUAGAGGUUUAAUUCCAAUUUCUUAUUUUUUCUUCUCAAUCCUCUUAAAUUACGAAAGUGAAGUCUAAAACAAGGAUUAGAUACCCUUUUAUUCUUAACCGUAAAUUUCAUUUGACUGGGCACUACGAACUCAUGUUUAAAACCCAAAGAACUUGGCGGUACCUUAACCUCCUAGGGGAACCUGUGAAUUAAUUCGAUAACCCACGCUUACCCCUACUUUUUCUUGAUUUUUCAGCCUGUGUACUGCCGUCGUCAGUCUACCUUUAGAAAGCUAAGUAGACCAUUCUAGACUUCUUCUUUUACGUCAGGUCCAAGUGCAGCUAAUGAAAAAGUUUUCAUGGGUUACAACCCUAAUUUAAGGAUAAUGGAUGAUUGUUUAAAAUCAAUCUGAAAGUGGACUUAGUUGUAAAGAAGGAUGCUUCUCCUUUCUGAACCUGGAAAUCUAAGGUGUGCACAAAUCGCCCGUCACUCCCCUCUAAAGAGGGGAUAAGUCGUAACAUAGUAGAGGUAAUGGAAAUUGCCCCU
rnacentral:ncRNA from 1 species